rnacentral:rRNA from 1 species
UGGGGAAUAUUGGACAAUGGGCGAAAGCCUGAUCCAGCCAUGCCGCGUGUGUGAAGAAGGUCUUCGGAUUGUAAAGCACUUUAAGUUGGGAGGAAGGGUUGUAGAUUAAUACUCUGCAAUUUUGACGUUACCGACAGAAUAAGCACCGGCUAACUCUGU